UCUCGAUACCACCUUAUCCACUACUGUCUCUUCUUCGUUCCCCACCCCAGUUCAUCUCUGUGGCCGACGCUGCUUCUCGCCCGCCGUGUCCUUCUCCCUCUCUCCCGCUAGCGCCGCCGCUGCCAGCGACCGCCGGACGACGACAUUCAUUUUUCCCGCCAUGUCCCUCUCCCCUUCUCUGCUAGUGCUGCUGCCGCCAGCAACCGCCGCUGGCCGCGGCCAUCUCUGAUCUCUCCCGGCAUGUCCUCCCUUCAGCGUGUGGGACGCCAGCAUGUAGAGGAGAAGGUGAAGGCGGCGUAUGCGAAUGCCGUCGAGGUCUCGGAGUCUCCCUUGAUCCCCUCGUGCCCGAUCCCCUCUCCCCGUUCCCCUGACCUGGCGACCUGGGCGCGAGCAACUGCCUGCGUGGGGGGCGCAUACGGAACUCCGGUGACAGGCCCUGGGAUCCCCCGUCGUCUCCUCUCUCCCUCGACCUGGCUACCUUCGACCCGACGGCCGGAGACCAAUAGCACAGCAGCGGUCAACAGCACACGGAUGGCAACCAGCAACACUGCAACAACGACCCGACGACGACUCGGCAAGAACCGGUCGAACCAUCCCCAAGAACUACUGACUGCUGUCUUCCUCUGUGAAUCUUAAUUUGUCCAAAUAGUAGUUGAUUUAACUGGGGGAUAAGAGAGAUCAGUGGUGCUAAAACUUGGGAUUGGGCUGAAAAUGGGUAAAAGGGGCAACGCUGAUUUGUACUCCGUACUUCAGAAGACAAAGAACAGAGGCUGAUACAGGAAGACAAAAAAACAAGGCUGAUACAGGAAGACAGCACUAGUAUUUUUGGAGACUGUAUGAUCAAGUGGAGUAGUAUAUUUUGGUAUAGUACAAUAGUUAGUUAUGUCAUGAAGUAGUUCGAUAUAUAUGGAUCUCAUCAUACAUGUAUUUUGAAACCAAUAUGGCCAAUCUCAAAUAUUCUCUAAUUCUUGCUCAUGUCGACUGGGAUAAACAUAGAUGAAAAAAGAUUAGUGAGUUCA